rnacentral:rRNA from 1 species
UGAAGGACGCAGCUAGCUGCGUGAUUUAGUGUGAAUUGCAGGACACAUUGAGCAUCGACGAUCUGAACGCGAAUUGCGGCCUCGGGUUAAUCCCGGGACCGCGCCCGCCUCAGGGUCG